CCUACGGGUGGCAGCAGUAAGGAAUAUUGGUCAAUGGGCGCAAGCCUGAACCAGCCAUGCCGCGUGAAGGAAGAAGGCCUUAUGGGUCGUAAACUUCUUUUAUAAGGGAAAAAAUUGGGGUACGUGUACCUCAUUGCUUGUACCUUAUGAAUAAGCAUCGGCUAACUCCGUGCCAGCAGCCGCGGUAAUACGGAGGAUGCCGGCGUUAUCCGGAUUCAUUGGGUUUCAGGCGUACUCAGAAGGACUGGGUGAAAUCCCAGAGCUCAACUAUGGAACUGCCAUUGAUACUGUCAGACUAGAGUAUAGUUGACGUAGGCGGAAUGCGACAUGUAGCGGUGAAAUGCUUAGAUAUGUCGCAGAACACCGAUUGCGAAGGCAGCUUACGAAACUAUAACUGACGCUCAUGCACGAAAGCGUGGGGAUCAAACAGGAUUAGAUACCCCAGUAGUC
rnacentral:rRNA from 1 species